rnacentral:rRNA from 1 species
GUGAACGCUGGCGGUAGGCCUAACACAUGCACGUCGAACGGCAGCACAGUAAGAGCUUGCUCUUACGGGUGGCGAGUGGCGGACGGGUGAGGAAUACAUCGGAAUCUACUUUUUCGUGGGGGAUAACGUAGGGAAACUUACGCUAAUACCGCAUACGACCUACGGGUGAAAGCAGGGGAUCUUCGGACCUUGCGCGAUUGAAUGAGCCGAUGUCGGAUUAGCUAGUUGGCGGGGUAAAGGCCCACCAAGGCGACGAUCCGUAGCUGGUCUGAGAGGAUGAUCAGCCACACUGGAACUGAGACACGGUCCAGACUCCUACGGGAGGCAGCAGUGGGGAAUAUUGGACAAUGGGCGCAAGCCUGAUCCAGCCAUACCGCGUGGGUGAAGAAGGCCUUCGGGUUGUAAAGCCCUUUUGUUGGGAAAGAAAAGCAGCAGGUUAAUACCCCGCUGUUCUGACGGUACCCAAAGAAUAAGCACCGGCUAACUUCGUG